rnacentral:rRNA from 1 species
UACGUAGGGUGCAAGCGUUAAUCGGAAUUACUGGGCGUAAAGCGUGCGCAGGCGGUUUUGUAAGACAGGCGUGAAAUCCCCGGGCUCAACCUGGGAAUUGCGCUUGUGACUGCAAGGCUGGAGUGCGGCAGAGGGGGAUGGAAUUCCGCGUGUAGCAGUGAAAUGCGUAGAUAUGCGGAGGAACACCAAUGGCGAAGGCAAUCCCCUGGGCCUGUACUGACGCUCAUGCACGAAAGCGUGGGGAGCAAACAGG